GCAAGGGUAAGAAACCAUCACCGAGCGUGCACCACUGUACAAACGUCGGAUCGAAGUACCCACCUGUACAACUGUCGCGCCUGUCUUCUGACUGCAAAAGAAUGUCAACCGGACCUAAGGAGGGUCCACUGGGUUAGUGUCUAACCCACAGCUAAGAAACCCUAAAAGCAUAACCCACAAACAAUCCCACAGAAAUCGGUUUCCCAAAACCGAUUACCAUAACUCGCCGGAAGUCCCGAAAAUCGCACCGGGACUCCGCCGGGACCCACUAACUAUCCCGG
rnacentral:lncRNA from 1 species